GGGGAUUUAGCUCAAUGGUAGAGUGUUUGCCUAGCAAGCAAACACAAAAGCCCUA
rnacentral:tRNA from 1 species